AUCGGAGGCUACCGACUGAGAAGCUUCGCCACCUUGUCGGCCGUGGGCACCAGAGGGGGAAUCAUCCUGCUCUGGAACAAGGACACCAUCAGUGCCUCUGACAUUUCCAUGGGGGAAUUCAAUCUGUCGGCCACAAUCAAUUUGGAAUCCAAUACCUCCUUUAAGUUGACCACGGUCUACGGUCCAACCAACAGCAGCAGAAAUGAUAACUUCUUCGCGGAACUGCUCGCGCAGAAGCCGGCGGCCAGCACCUUGUGGCUCGCAAAUGGGGACUUCAAACAAAUACCUAGGGCCAGAGACAAGAACAAAAGGAAUGCUAACAUCUCACAUAUAAAUUGUUUCCGGAACACCUUGCAUGCCUAUGAGUUAAAGGAAAUGCAUAUGCAAAAUCAGAAAUUCACGUGAAGCAACGAAAGGCUUGAUCCUACCCUUUGCAAACUCGAUAGCUUCUUUUGCAACUCUAAUUGGGACGUCCAAUUUGGUUCUCACGUCCUCUUUGCCCUGGUGACAUCCCUCUCUGAUCACUAUCUGCUAAUCCUGGCUAGCGACCGUGGUCCCAAAAGGCCCCGAAAAUUCAAGUUUGAGAACUUCUGGAUCAAGCUACCAGGAUUCAGUAGGGUCGUGGCGGACGAGUGGGCCAAGACAACCAUGCACACAAAACCUUGUCGUAUACUAGCUGAGAAGAUGCGCCACCUCGGCGUUGCGCCGAGACGUUGGAGCAAUAGUUUCUUCUCCAUUGCCAAGCUACAACUCGCAAUGGCCUUGGAGGUUAUUCUCAGGUUGGACAUGGCCAUGGAUUUGCGAUCUCUAUCCUUGGAGGAGCGAGACUUG
rnacentral:rRNA from 1 species